UUUAGAAAAGAUAACCCCUUGCCCUUGGUGGAUCCAAACUACCUAUUUUUCUAUGUAAUAACAGAAACUGCAAAUUACUAGUUUUUACUCCAAAAUGGUGAUGCACAAAAAGGAGUCAUAGGUGGGGAAUUUCGAUAAUUUCUUGCUAGAUUUGGAAGCCUUGGAAUUGGAGGAGGUGGACAUGUUAAGAUCAGGAUGGAAUUUGGGCCAUGAGACUCUGACAGCCUCUGUUUCAGCUCAUUUAACAGUGCUUGGUUCUCCUGGUUCAGUAGUUAGCAGUUCUCCAAGUACAGCUUUGAGUUUAGCCUCUCCAUUUCUGUCAAACAUUUACAAAAAUGUAAGCAAAUUAACUACAUACCUUUUGGUAUAAAGACAAGAAUAAAGUGUACGAAGAAACCCAUAAAAAGGACAGAGAAAAGAAGAAAGAAUACCUUUUGGAAGGUUGGUUAGAAAAGAAGGGGAAGAAGAA
rnacentral:lncRNA from 1 species